rfam:Brassica napus, WGS project CCCW01000000 data, contig: 14196
GAAAAUUAAGAAACUGUUUCUUAACUUUUAACUAAAAAGGCUAAAAACCGGUUUUUAAAUAAGGACUUUAAGAACCGGUUUUUAGCUUUUUUUAGUUAAAAGUUAAGAAACAGUUUCUUAACUUCC